AUUGAACGCUGGCGGCAGGCCUAACACAUGCAAGUCGAGCGGAGCGGCGGACGGGUGAGUAAUGCCUAGGAAUCUGCCUGGUAGUGGGGGAUCACGUCCGGAAACGGGCGCUAAUACCGCAUACUAUCAGAUGAGCCUAGGUCGUAUUAGCUAGUUGGUGGGGUAAAGGCCUACCAGGGCGACGAUCCGUACCUGGUCUGAGAGGAGGAUCAGUCACACUGGAACGGAGACACGGUCCAGACUCCUACGGGAGGCAGCAGUGGGGAAUAUUGGACAAUGGGCGAAAGCCUGAUCCAGCCAUGCCGCGUGUGUGAAGAAGGUAGUCGGAUUGUAAAGCACUUUAAGUUGGGAGGCGUUACCAAAAGAAUAAGCACUGGCUAACUACGUGCCAGCAGCCGCGGUAAUAC
rnacentral:rRNA from 1 species